rnacentral:rRNA from 1 species
UACGUAGGGUGCGAGCGUUUAAUCGGAAUUACUGGGCGUAAAGUGUGCGCAGGCGGCUGAGCAAGUCGAGUGUGAAAGCCCCGGGCUUAACUUGGGAAUUGCGCUCGAAACUACUUGGCUUGAGUGUGGCAGAGGAAGGUGGAAUUCCACGUGAUAGGCGGUGAAAUGACGUAGAGAGUGUGGAGGAAGACCGAUGGCGCAA